GCCAUUGUGGUGUAGUGGUAGCACGCGCCCUCGGUAUGGGUAAAAACGGGUUCAACUCUCGUCCGAAGUCGGGCU